AGAGAGAGACAUGCGCGCAUAUCAAUAAGCGGAGGAAAAGAAACUAACUAGGAUUCCCUCAGUAACGGCGAGUGAAGCGGGAAGAGCUCAAAUUUGAAAUCUUCAAGGUUCUACCUUGACGAAUUGUAGUUUAAAGAAGUGUUUUCUGUUGAAGUUUUGGUAAAAGUUCUUUGGAAUAGGACAUCAUAGAGGGUGAGAUAUCCCGUAUUUGACCAUUAUUUUCCAGCUGUGUGAUACACUUUCAAAGAGUCGGAUUGUUUGGGAAUGCAGUCCAAAAUGGGUGGUAAAUUUCAUCUAAAGCUAAAUAUUGGCGAGAGACCGAUAGCGAACAAGUACCGUGAGGGAAAGAUGAAAAGAACUUUGAAAAGAGAGUUAAACAGUACGUGAAAUUGUCAAAAGGGAAGCGUUUGACACCAGUGUUGUUUUCUCGAAAAUCAAUUAAAAAAGGCAGGAUUUUGUGUUGUAUUGACUUUAUCAGCUUUCUGCACUCUUUUCUUGUCUUUUUUAAUGCACUUUUCGUUUAACAAGUCAACAUCAAUUUCUUUUGUUGUAAAAGGGUCAUUGGAAGGUGGCUUUCUUUUCGGAGAAAGUGUUUAUAGCCUUUGGCCUCUGCAAUCGGAGAGAUUGAGGUCUGCAGCGUAGAUCCUUCGGGGUUAAAUAGCAUUUGUGCUAAGUUAUAACCUUUCAUAGACAACUUGUUGACUAUGAUCUGUCAUGUAGCUUACUCGCUUAUGCUAUUUUACCUACGCUUAGGAUGUUGAUGUGAUACUGCGAGCA
rnacentral:rRNA from 1 species